rnacentral:lncRNA from 1 species
UUUUUUUUUUUUUUUUUUGUCAAACGAUAAAUCUUGUUAGAUUAGAUGUUAAAUUAGUCACCGAUAGAUUUGAACCUGUUGGAAAAUAGUAAUAUUUAGGUUUAUUUUAGUAUUUGAGUUUUGCUUGUUAGUUUAGGAUUUGGACCUAACCCAUCCGAGUUAGGGUUUCUUAGGUUUCGUUCUCUAUAAAUAGAGCUUGUAAUUUAGUUUGAGAAUAAGUUAGUCACAAUGUAGCCUUUUAGGGUUUUGUAGCCGUUUCGGCAUUUUCAGUUUGUUUAAUAAUAUUCUUAUUAUUCUGUUAAUCUUGUUCGUUGUGCACUCUGAUAUUCAACUUGGUAUUAGAGCGGGUUCGAUCCUUAGGGUUCAAUUCUUUCUCGUUGGUAUCAAUUUGUUUGCCUUUGUCGUCGUUCGUUUUAGAUUUGUUAGUUGGUAUUGAUUGUUUGCAAGGAAAAGAAAAAUGAAAGAGAAAAAGAAAAAAAAAAGGUUUUGCUUGCAGUGGAGAAGAUUCCCUAGCAAAUAAAAAAAGGGGACGAAAGAGAGAAGAAAGGAAAAAAAAAAAAAGGAACCACGGAAAGGAAGAAAAAGGAAGGAAAAAAGUAAAAGAAGGAAGGGAAAAAAAAUAUGGCUGUUGUGUUUUAAGGUUUGGGACCCCCGUGAUGCUGCUGUUUAGGCUUGUUUCUGUAGCUUGUUGUUGCCUUCUACAACGAUCGCUCAAAUGCUUGGAUUGAUGAUCAUUCAAGUGACGUUGUGGACAGAGUGAAUUGGAUUUUUUAUUGUUUGUUCGAAAGUUGGAAUAUGCAUUGGCAUUGACAUUGGCAUUGGUAUUAGCAUUGGCAUCAGUAUUGGCAUUGGUAUUGGCAUUGGCAUUGGCAUUGGCACUGGAAUUUGGAGUCUUGCAUCCACAUCUACUUUGGCAAACCCAUGUCGUGUACCGCUAUGAGUUUGACGGGGGGUGUUGGAAAUAUUAGUAUUUAGGUUUAUUUUAGUAUUUGGGUUUUGCUUGUUAGUUUAGGAUUUGGACGUAACCCAUCCGAGUUAGGAUUUCUUAGGUUUGGUUCUUUAUAAAUAGAGCUUGUAAUUUAGUUUGAGAAUAAGUUAGUCACAAUGUAGCCUCUUAGGGUUUUGUAGUUAUUUUGGCAUUCUCAGUUUGUUUAAUAAUAUUCUUAUUAUUAUGUUAAUCUUGUUCGUUGCGCACUCUGAUAUUCAACUGAACCCACGCCGUCAUGCGAGGGCUCAACUUCUUUCCUCCACUAUAGUAAAGAGCCACUUGCGUAGAAAAACGUAUUUGGCUCAACUUGUUUUUCACUUAUCCUUAAAUGUACAACAUAUAAUAAAUACAAAUCAUAAAUUAAUUGCAAAUACACAUCAUUUACUCUUUCUACAAUAAAUCUAAUGUAGAAGAGUGAAUGAACCUAUGUAGAAGAUUUAAUUAGCCUAAUUGUUCAAUGAACCUAAUUAACACUCACCCUUUAGUGGAUGGAAAUUGCGUUAACAGAUUUAUGUAAAGAUGUCUCAAGCCACUUUUGUAGGACAAGGAAGAUGCUUUUUUAACAUUCCCCCUCAAGUUGGAGAGUGAAGGUCGAGAAAUCCCAACUUCGUAUCAUAACCGAGAACUUCUCCUUGCCCAAAGGGUUUUGUAAAAACAUCUACUAAUUGUUGUAAUGACGCCAUAUGUCAAGUAGUGGUUGUGCCAUCAAUUGUUUUGUCUCGAAUAAAAAAUCCAUCUCAAUAUUUCGUGUUCUCUCAUGAAAAGUUGGAUUCACCGGUAUAUGUAACGCCGCUUGAUUAUCACAAUAUAAAAGUGAAGCUUCUAAUUGAGGUAUCUUAAAUCUUCCAAUAAAAAAUUGCAAGCUAAUAGUUAAAGACGAACACUAAUCACAAUCCACGAGACUUGCAGCUUGCUACAAUAAAAAAUAUAUAGUUGUCCAUUUUAGAGAGUAGCAUAACUUACUUAUAAACUCAUGCAAAGUCAAUUCCUCCCAUCAAUGCAAGAUUUAUUCUCAACAUGCCCCCUCACAUGUGACGAAUUUUCAAGUCGAACACGUGGACACAAUGGGGUGACAUGGAGUACAUGUGGCAAUUGGGCUUCACACAUAGGACAACUUACAUACUUUGAUACCAUAAAGAAAAUUGAAGUUCCACCAUAAAAUCAAUUUGCAAUAUUGGGAGCUGCCCAAUUACAUAUAAGCACAUGCAAGGUCCAUUCUUUUUGCGAUGUUGAACUUUACUCUUAGCACACCCCCCACGUGUAUGGACAACACAAAUCGGAUGAUGUGGAGCACUUGUAGCUGUCAAGCAAUCCACAUACGAGACAACUUGCUUUGAUACAUUGAAGAAAAUUGAGGUUCUAUGAUAAAACCAAUCAGCUAUAUGGAGAGCUCAACUUACUUAUAAGUUCAUACAAGGUCCAUUCUCUCAUCAAUGUAAGAUUCAUUCUUAACAAACGUUUAUAAUCAUUUGUGCUCUAUUUAGUAAAAAAUGGCUACAUUUAAUUUUACACUCUGAGUUCAUGGGUUUCAUUCUCCUUAAAUAUUGCGGUUGCGCUCUUUUGCUCUAUAUGCGUCCAAUCCAUUUUCCUAGUGCACCCAACACCUUAAACUAUUUCCACAACUUUAAGGAUAACUGAACAUGCUUGUUUGGGCUUCAAAGUGCCCAAUAAGAAAGAAUCAAGGUAUCCAUUCUGAAAACCAAUUCGACAUUGGCUAGAAUGAAGACUCAAGCAAACAUAGAACUAAAGGGAACCGGAGGUGGGUUUGGAAAUGCAGUGGAAUGGUACACAAAUUUAACUAAACUAGUUCACUUUCGCUAAACUGGUUUGCAUGAUCGAAAUAGCAUUACAGUCAUGUCUUAUAUUAAAUCACGAGAAUAGAUCAAUACUAUACUACAACAAUAACUUGGAAGCUUCAAAAUCAACAUAGAGGGCACAACGAUUUAACAAGGUAAAACUCUACCACUCAGGAAAACGUCCUUGCACACUUUCCUAGUCUAAAAACAAUCUACUAUUAUUCAAACAAAUGUAAGAGAUUGACGCAAACUCAACUUACUAGACUCAACACUAGAAGGUAGUCUCGUCCUCAUGCUCUUGCUACUUGAGUAGUACAAAUUACUUGCUUUCUACUACUUGUCUCCUCUAAGUGGCAGAAAUCUUAACUUGGUUGUGUAACACUUUAGAGAACGAACCAUUAUCGAGGGCGAACCGUUAUCAAGGCUUAGCCCUCCUCAAUCUUCAUGCGUGAAAAUGUAUCCCUUUGUAAACCAGUAGUUAUACUAUAAGAUGCUUAUGCUCAAUUUCCCUAGUUUUGCUAUAAGAUGUUUAUGCUACAAGAUAUGCAAAUGGGCUAGAGAAUAACUAGUGGAUGCAUGGGUAUGAUGGGCUCGUGAAUGUAUUUGCUAGACCUAAAUAUUUGACAACCAAUUAAAACCCCAUUUGACAAAAACCUUCCACCCAAAAAGUAAUCAUGGACAAUGAGUUAAAUCCAAAAUCAAGUUUCAGCUCAAAAUUAAUUUUAAUUUUAAACGCCUCACCACUGUUCCUAAGUCUAAGUAAAUGAAUGAAUACACAUUAGGUGACUAGAGCGUCAUAAGUUUCUUCAACAUGUACGAAACUGUCCCAGGCGGCCAAAAAAAGGGAAACUGCAGCUGCCAGUGAGAACAAGGAUCCUGACUUCAAUCUUGAUUUCGAUCCUAAGACGAUAGACAACUUGAAACCACUACUAAAAAACCUAAUUUUUAGGUGGUGGUCGAUUUGAUGUACUUGGGAGCUUUGUGCCCUACAGCCAAGUUUCUGUGGCUAUUCCAAUUUACAACCUAUAUUAAGCAACAGAUGCUGCAAUUUAACUUUCUGCACCAAAAGAAUACAGAUAUGUUUUCCCUAAUUAUGGCCCAUUUUGGCCAGAAGCUCCAUGUGAUUAUAUGAUCACCCACAUGGCCAAUAUUGUUAUAGGAACAUGUGACAUCUUUAGAGCAUAAAAAUAGUAAAAACUGGCUCUCACGCAUCAUGCGAGCGGCACAUGAGCUUAUAUAUGCGAGACACCCUGUUUCUAGAUUUUUUUUUUCUCUAUGGAAAUCGGUGGUGCCAUAAAUUUAUAAAAGCAUUCAGGCAAAAUAUAGAAACAAUAUUAGAACUACACAAAGGAUAGUUAGGAUUCAUCGUCCGAAACUGGCCAAAGGAGACAUCUUUUAUACAAGAGCAACAACCAACAGAGCAUAUGCUCUUAGACACUUGACUUAUUCAUAGACCCACCACAAAACACAGAAAAAUACACAUGUUUACUUUCACUUCUUAUUCAACAAACCAGACUCCUGCAUUCUAGAAAUUGCCUUCUCAAAUUGGCUCCACCUCUGCUCCAACGUCCCAAUGUACCCGAUCGACAUCCUCACGAGCCCUGGUGAGAUCCCAGCCAGAGCCUUCUCCUCAUCAUUCAUCUCACUGCUUGUGCUGCUUCCAGAGCAGGACAUUAGAGUUUCAUAGUACCCUAGGCUCACAGCCAUGAACCCAAACUGUGUGCAGUUCUGCAAGAGAUUCAUGAGCCUAUUGGCUCUUUCCUCAGUCCCCAUGUCCAAACACAGAAGCCCUCCGUACCCGUAAUCUUUGUUUCUUAUGGCCUUGAGAAGCUCGUGCUGCGGGUGGUCGUCGAGCCCCGGGUAAAUUACUUUUAAGCCCAUCUUCUUCAUCCUUUGGGCAUAAACCAUUGCCCUAUGGCAGUGCUCCUUCAUUCUCAACCCUAGGUGGGGAAUCCUCUCAGAGAGCUCAAAUGCCACCUUGGCAUUCAUUGUGGGACCCAAGAGCAUUAGGGAGCCUUGGUGUAGAUCCAUCAUUGAGUUCACCAGGCUUGCAGGUCCGCACACAACACCUGUAAAAAAUUUAUGCCACAAAAAAGUUUAGUAUUUUGUUGCUAAUCACAAAAGCUACUUUCCAAAGAGAAAAUAAGAAAGGGUUUAACAAAUAAUGAGAAAUCAUGUUAGCUGGAAAUGGUUGGACGGUCUAGUGGAAUCUCUUCACUUUUUGCAGAUAAUAGAUUUAUACAUAAAUCAUUAAGAACUUAUAUAUUAAAUGACGAAAUGAAGGAUCAAAACAUAUUUAUCUUGAUCUGAAAUUGUCAAAGAGUUAGAAUUGUAGAAGUUUUAAUUCUCAAGCCAAAAAAUAGACGACGCAUUAAAAAAAGUGAUUAAAUAUUAAACUAAUAUGACUAGAUACACAAAAAUUGAUAGAAUGUGAAUAUAACAUCUAUAUAUAUAAAGUGAGUGAUAAAAAGGUGAAACAUUCACAAUACCAAAAAUUGUCCUUCAAGAAUUCUAAAAUUACAAUUGAACCAUAAGAAUUUAAAGUAAUUCACCACAUUUUAAUUUUGAAUGAAUUUUAAAUUUAAAACUUUAAUUAAAAGAAAACUACCAUGUUAGUGGAUGGUUUUAUGGUUUUGCUUAAAUUUUUUUUCUGAAUAAUUUUUUAAUAAAAAUAUAAAAUAGUUACUUAAAAAAAAAAAACAUAAUCUAAUAUAAAAAGGUUAAUUGCCACACGCUAAUGCGUAUGGCAAGAUGCUAGUCUUAGAUUAUGUGAUGAUGACAUUAGUACUUAAAUUAUGGUUCUCUUUUAUUGGAAUUAAUAUUUUUUGCUUCACCUUUUCUUUUAAUUUUUGUACAGAACAUCACAUGGAAUCUUGCAGUGAACAUGGAAAAUAACAGUGAAAAAUCAAAUCAAGGAUCGUAUAAGAUAUUGUAGUAAGAAGAAUACAAUUCCUACCUCAACUCACCCAUGUUAAUCAUGAAGUAAGGUUGCAGAUGGAAAACGACACCAAACAAACAGUGUCCAACAAAAACACAAGCAAACAUAAACGUAUGGUAUCUAAAAAUAACACAAGCUAACAAAAACGAACAGAAACACCUGUCUUGCUAUCUAAAUAUAACAAGACAUGAAUCACGAGUCACAAAAGUAACACCCUCGCAUGAAUCCAAACCGGUCCCUCCCCCACCCUCGCUAAAAGUAUUACUCUCCCGGCCCAUACUUUUUUUCGGUCUGAACUCCCCAUGCUUUUAUUAUAUAACCUAUAAUGUAAUCGAUUUACUAUCGACCGCCUAAUUAAUAUGCCAUUGUUAUUAAAAAAAAAAAAAAAAACUGAUUAAUUUUACAACUAAAUGUCAAAAACGAAUCAUUCCAAUUAUUUAUCCUAAAUUUUUUUCUAUAGAUUAAAAGUACUUAACACGCAUUUACCUAAAAUCGCUAAAUUAUGAUCUUACACUCAGUCUCUUCGUGAGCGUUAUUAGAUUUCAUUUUUAUAAACAUCUUUAGAUCACAUUUUUUAUGUUAUACUGCACGUUACCAAUCCAAUCAUAUAAUUGACGAUAUACUGUCAUAUUCAAUAAUUUUCGAACCGCAGAAGGUAAAGAAAAUCUCACAAGCCAACUAUAAGGAAAAUAUUUACUACUUUUACCUGCAAUAAUAUCAGCACCGCCGCUAAUAAACUUGGAAAUGCUGUGAACAACAACGUCAGCACCAAGCCUCACCGGAGAGAGAACCAUGGGAGAAAACGUGUUGUCCACCACAACCGUGACCCCCUUCUCGUGGCCGAUACGGCUGAGCUCCGGUAUGUUGGCGACGGUGAGAGUUGGGUUCGACAUGCCUUCGAAAUAGAGUACCUUGGUCUUCCCGACCUCAAUAGCAUUCCUCACCAUGUCCAUGUCGUUGAUGUCCACAAACGUCGUCGUUAUGUUGCAUGCCCUGGGGAAGAAGUGGGACAUGAGGGCGUGGGUCCCUCCGUAGACGGUUCUUGAGGCUACGAUGUGCUCCCCGCUGCUGACGAGCUGGAGCAGGACGGAGGAUAUGGCUGACAUCCCAGAGGACGUGCAGUAGGCGGCCUCUGUGCCCUCGAGGGCUGCCAUCUGGCGACUGAGAUUGAGCACGGUAGGGUUAAAGUGGCGGCUGUAGAUGAAGAAGUCGCGGUCGGCACCCAGCUCGCCGGAGAACAUUUUGCGAAGAGUCUCGGGCUCCAUCACGGUGAACGUGGCGGAGGCCUCAAUCGACAUGUUGACACCACCGUGCUCACCAAACUCAUGGCGAGCACUGGCUAAUGCCGCGGCUGGGUCUUCCCAGGCUGCAGCUGCAGCCGAGGACAACAACAUGGACUUUUUGGCGGCAACAUAGUCUUCGUUGUCUAUGUCGUCGUGCUCUGCUCUCUUCUUGCUGUUGAUGGUGGGGAAAACUAAUCCCUGGGAUUUGGUGUCAGCCAUGUUUGGUUUUUGCUAAUGGAGUUCAGGGUUGGGUUUAUUGGGGCGGGGGGGGGGGGGGGGGGGGGGGGGGGGUGUGUAAAUCAAGGGGGGAGGAGGAGUUGUUUGUGCUUUGGGUUUGGGUUUGGGGGGAUGUUAUAUCUCUAUAUAGAGGGAGAAAGAGGAGACAGUGAAAUUGAUUUGUUAUUACUAUUCAAGGCCAGAUUUUGAUUUUAUUUAUUUUCAAGAACAAAGGUUGUAUUUGUGGCAUGCUUGUAGCGUGCCUUAAUUGGUCCCAUAGAGUAGCACUUCCUUUAAAUCAUUGGACGUAUGGAAAGUUUGAGUUUAUAUAUAGACACACACACACACAUACAUAUAUAUAUAGCACGAAUAGGUGAAAGUGUUAGGUGUCAUCAACUAUAAAGGGCAUAUCAUGUCAAUAGUAUGUAUCGUUCCCAUGUUAUUAAUUUUGUAAAGCCAGCCAAUAUGUGGGUCACAAUUUUACCCUAUAUAAUGGGUACUUCAGUUUGGGCAAAGCAUAUUAUUAACUUUUGAUUGCCCCGUUGUGAAUGGAGAGGGUAGAAAAUUUGGGGGAAGAAAUUGACAACACUAAUUACUAAUGGAAGUUUGGAGAAGGUUCUCAAACCCCCUUUCAUUAUGCGUACCCAACAGUCUAACUCUAAACCAAAAAUGCACCUUUUAAUUACUUUGAAGCUUUUAAUCUACAUGAGCUAAGGAGAUUCUUUAUGGACUUUAUCAUCUCACAAUUUAGCGUCAAUUUUCCGUGCCAACAUUAUAAAUCAUUGUACCAAAAACAUGAGAUGACAAAGAGUCCAUAGAGAGUCUCAUUUUAAAGAGUUUCCUUAGCAUUUCUUUAAUAUGAGAAGACAACACGUUCAAAAUUGAAAUGAUAACAUUAGAGAGGCCAAAAUUCAUUAGUCAUACGUUGAAGAGGAAGUUAUUCAAAACUAUGUAUGGGAAUGAAAAUUUUAAAACGAAUUACGUUAUUAAGAGUCAACUGUUAUAGUGUUCAAUUUUCACAUUAUUACGUAACAAUUUUACUACCGAUGACGUGAUAGAAAGUGGCUUUGAAAAAUACUAACUUGUAGAGGACAAAACACAUCAACAAAAACCAUAGUUGUUGUUUAAACACUAGUAGGAAAAACCAUUUGUGUGACAAAUGUUUGGGCAACAAAGCAAAAUUUGUCACGCAAGUGUGUUUUGCACAACAAAAUCAAUAGCUUCAUCGUGCAAGAAUGAUGCUAAUUUGCACGACGCACACCUUUGUCGUGCAAUAGAGUAUGCACGAUGAAAAAAAGAUACUUGUUGCCCAAAGUCAGUAAAAAUAACACGAGUAUUUUUUUUUUUUGCGCAAAAAAAUGUGCGACGAAGUUUUUCCUGCGAAAACCUUGCGCGACAAAGGCUUCGCCGCACAAAGUUCGUUCAAUUUUUGGGUCAGAGCAUUCAACGCAUGCGAAUUAGCUGAAAACUUGUACGACAAAGGAUUCGUUGCACAAAGUCCAGUCAAUUUUUUAGUCAGAGCAUUUAGUGCAUGUGAAUAAAAGGAAUCAAUACCAUAUUUAGUGCAGAUGUUUGCACGACAAAGGCUUUGUUGUGUAAAGUCCCUAACCUUCCUAUAAAUAUGCGCUUCUGCUCUCCUUAUUCUUCACAAUUCUGUUCGUGCUAGAAUGGAGGAUAAAAAUCGGGAGCAGAGCAAGGCCUCUGAGCCCUAUGAUAUGAGGCAAUAUGUGGAGCUUGCGCAUGCGAUUGGUGUAGCAAUGCAGAACAAUUGUCCUACUGCUAAGUGGUGUUCUUGGAAAUAUGUGCCCUAGAAUGUGAAGAAGGCAAUGAUGGAUCAAUUAUUAGCAAGUGUGACAAAUGUUGAAAAUAAUUAAUUUUAUGAAAUUUUUUGUUAUAUGUUGUAAUUAAUUAUUUGCGUAUAUGUGUAAUAGUGUAACUAUACUCUUGAUGAUAAGAACGAAGAGUUGAUGAAAUUGAUGGAGGAGGCAUUGAAGGGGGUUACAAGCAGUGGCGUUAUGACAUCGAGCGGAAUGGAGGACCAGCGAAACAUUAGUUUUAAAUUUAUGUUCUUAAGGUCAAUAUUUAAUUUUAAGGUUUUUUUAUAGGUUAUGUAUUUGGACUUAAUUAGACUUGAAUUCAUGUUUUAUUGUUUAAAUAAUUGAAUAGAUUAAUUCAAUUUAUUUAAUUUAUUAAUUAUUUUUAGAAUAAAUAUUAUAAUUGAAUAUUUAUUUGUAAUUAUGAAGUUUACGUAAAUAUAGAUACUAAAUAUCUAUGUUUACGUAAACUUCAUAAUUACGAUCUAUAUUUAAGUAAACUUCAUAAUUACAAUGAAUUACGUAAUUUCAUCGCUAUAAACUUUGCGCAAUGACAAUUUCGUCGCGCAAAGGGCGCAAAAAAAACACGGUUAAGUUUACCACCAUAUUUCGAAUCUAUAUGUUUUGCGCGACGAACCAUUCAUCGCGUAAGGUGGUAAAACCUUGCGCGACGAAGGCUUCGUCGCACAAAGGUCAUUCAGUUUUUAGGUCAGAGCAUUCAGUGCAUGUGAAUCAACAGAAUCAAUACUGUAUUUAGUGCAAGUGUUUGCGCGACAAAGGUUUCGUCGCACAAAGUCUCUAACCUUCCUAUAAAUAUGCACUUCUACUCUCCUUAUUCUUCACAAUUCGUUUAGGAAAUGCUUUACUAUUUUGCAAAUUAUAAUCAAUUUGUUCUUUGAUUGUUGGUACGAUGGCCGACUGUGGUGCGUGUUCGUCAAAUACAAUGGAUGGCAAAGGUUAUGGAAAAGGUUUGUGUUGUAAAUUUUGCAUUUUGUAUAAAGUUUUUAUUUAGCUUCAGUAGUAUGAAUAUAUAUUUUGUUGCUAGACAAGAAGAAAAGAGCUGCAGUACAGGUUUGACACACUUAUGGUGGGAACCGUUACAGAAUUACUGCUGACGAAUUAAUAGGGGUUAUGAAGUCAGAUAUGCGCGCUAGCAUUUGGUCUGACGUUGGAGUAUUGGUGCAUGACAAAUGUGUUGUAGAUUGGGAGUCUUGGAGAGCCAUCCUCGAGGAGCUGAAGAUGCACUUGAUUGAUGAGUUAGCUGUAUGUGUUAAGUUAUUAGUUAAAUAAUAAUUAUGUUUGUUAAAUUUAAUAUAAUAGUGAGAUUUUAAUUUAUUAAUUUUCGCAUGACAGCCUAAUUGAGACAUUGAUAAAAGUAAUGCAAAUCUGAUGAAGGCUAUCGACAACAUCUUCAAGUCUCGUUUCCAGGAGUGGAAGUCUAAUAAUCAACGUGCGGCAAAACUACCAGCGAAGGAGUAGAAUAAUGGUUUUUAUUUUAAUUUCAUUGCUUAUUUAAUAAUGAGAUCUGAAUUAGAUGUUUUUUAUUGUGAACAAAUUAAUUAAAUAUGUACUUAAUGUUUAUUUCAAAUAAAAUUAAUGCAUGUUAAUAAAUACUUAUAUUAUUUAAUUAUGCACGAAUGAUUUAAUGAAAUAAGUUCUUGAUUUAUUAAGUAUUUAUAUUGUUUGAAAAAAAUUGAAGACUAAAUGGAAAAAUUCAAUUUUUUUUUCAAAAAAGAACUGAAAAAAAAAAAAGUAAUGCACGACGAAACAUGGUUCGUCGCGCAAAACUUUUUUUUAAAAAGCACGACGAAAUGUGGUUUGUCACUCAAAGUGUUCUAAAAACGCGGCAAAGCGUAGUUGGAUGGCGCCAAAAGUGGAAGCACCAUGUUUUGCGCGGCGAUUCUUUUAUCACGCAAAAUCUUUUCACUUUACUGAAUUUAACCAGAAUGCAGGAAGGCAGAAGCUGCAAAACAAUUGUAGCAGCUGCCUUUAUGUUGGAAUUUCCAGCCAUUCUAGCUGUGCUACCAUUAAUCUUAGAGGUAUAUUUUCUUAAUUAGCUUAUCUAAUUUCCAUUCAUUUAAAUUGUUUUAUACGUAGUUUAUAAUUGUUGUGAGUUUAUGUAUUUGUAUGCAAACAUUUUUGUAUGGAUGUACAAAAAAUAGUUUGUAAUGUUCAUAUGAGCUUAGUUUCUUGUUUAAGAAUUAGUUGGAUUUUGCGAAUGGAUGCAAAAACAUGACUGCGGUCUAAUUAAUUCUUGAAUUGUCCAAAAGUUUUGUACAAUUUGAGAAUGCACAGUUACAUGUUGUAUUUUGCGGUUCACACAUUAGAGUUUGAACAUGGGAAAUUUGGUAGCAUCUUUUUGCAUUCUUCGGGUGCAUCGUAGUUUUUUGUAUCUACAUUGUGCACUUGAAAAAUUGUAGGGAGAUGCUACCGAAAUUUUUUCACAAUCGAACUCUAACUUGUUGGAACCGUAAAUUACGGCACGUAACUAUGCACUCUUGAAUGAGAUAGGACCCAUACUGGAGGCAUAAGGUGGCAUGUCAUAAUUGAAGUUGUAACCCUUGUAAAUUUUUUAUGUUUGUAGGUGAUAUGGACAAACAGUGGAAACAUAAUCCUAACAGAUGUGCUAAUGAUUAUUUGGAUGGAAUAAAUCCAUUCAUUGAUUUUGCAAAUGCAAACAACCGGGGUUAAACUCAAAUUUGGUGUCCUUGUAGAAAGUGUAACAACUCAAUGAUUGAAUAUUUUGAAACUAUUCAAUACCAUUUAGUCAAAAAUGGAAUGAUGGAGACCUAUACUAUGUGGAAUCAUCAUGGAGAACAAAUACAACAUGCUUCAUCCUCACACAUUGCCGGAGCAGUGGGACAGUUGAAUCUGUUGUGGACCCAAAUGAAGAAAUUAUGGACAAUAUCAAUGAUAUUUUUUCCAAACACUAGUUUGAAUACGAAUGAGGAAGUAGAAGAUGACGUCCCUUCCACCAUGGAUAGUGAAGCAUUUGAAAAAAAAUAUGAGAAACUUGUUUGUACCACACUUGACCAAUCCCGAAACUACUGAGCACCGGUCAACGUUAUACCGUCAAGGACCCAGAAGAGUUUCCCUCCAACCAGGAGGCCAAUCACAGCGCGACACAUGUCGACAUCAGAAGACAAUCAUAGCACGACACGUGUCAACAUCAGAAGCCAAUCACAACACGACACGUGUCAAUGUCAGAAUGAAACUAGAAACACUCCUCUAUAAAUAGAGAUCAUUCUCUCACAAUAUUUCCUAAUGUCAUUUGUAAUAAAUCAUUCACUUGUACUCACUAAAGGAGAGCUUGAACCUAUGUACUUUUGUAAACCCUUCACAAUUAAUGAGAACUCUUCUACUCCAUGGACGUAGCCAAUCUGGGUGAACCACGUACAUCUUGUGUUUGCUUCCCAAUCUCUAUCCAUUUACAUACUUAUCCAUACUAGUGACCGGAGCAAUCUAACGAAGGUCACAAACUUAACACUUUCUGUUGUACCCAAGUUCUCACUGAUUUUGUGCAUCAACAAAACUAUUAAAAAGUGUCAAGCAAGAAUUAUACCCCUACUACGAAGGAUUUUCGAUGCUUAUGGCCAUUGUUGAGUUGAUACAUGGCAAAAUAAAGUUUCGUAUGACGAACAGUGUUUUGAUUACUCUUUGAGCGUUUUCAAGAGGAUGCUUCCAAAGGACAAUUGCUUGCCUAAAGAUCAUAAAAGCUCAAAGAAGGUGUUGAAUGGUCAUGGAUUGGGAUAUAAAAAAAAUCACGCAUGUUAAAAUAAUUGCAUUUUGUUCUACAAAGAUAGUAAAGCGUUAGAUAAAUGCCCUAUAUGUAAUGAGUCGCGGUUUAAAAUGACCUCUCAUAAUAUGACAACAAAGAUUCCACAAAAAGUUAUGCAUUAUCUCCCAUUAAAGCCCAGGUUGCAGCGAUUGUAUAUGUCGACGCACACUGCAAGCGACAUGAGGUAGCAUAAGGACAGACGAAUGGAUGACGAUGUUAUGAGGCAUCCUACAAAUGGAGAGGCCGGGAAAGAGUUUGAUCGGCUGUACCCCGAUUUUGCAUGUAAGCCCCAGAACGUUAGAUUAGGACUUGCAACAGACAAGUUUAAUCCGUUCUGGGUUCUAAACUAAAACCACAACACUUGGCCAAUCUUUGCAAUUCUGUAUAAUUUGCUGCUUUGGAAGUGCAUGAAAAAGAAUAUAUGAUAAUGACAUUGUUGAUAACCGAAAAUCUUGGCAUGUCUAUUGAUGUUUAUUUACAACCGUUGGUUAAUGAACUAAAAGAAUUAUGGAAAAACAGUGUUCUCACAUACGAUAAUCUACCAGGAAGAUGUUCACUUUGAGAGCACCAGUGAUGUGGACUAUAAACAAUUUUCCUGCAUACGUUAUGAUGUCUGGGUGGAGCACUAAGGGUUAUUACGCAUGCCCAGUUGCAAAAAGAACACAAUGUAUGGUUGGCACCCGGGAAAAGUUUGUUACCUAGGGCAUCAUAGAUGGUUGCCGUGGGACCAUGAGUGGCGUCAAAACGAGACAACCUUCUUCAACGGUACAGAGAUUCGGCCAAGAUCCAGAGGAUGGUCCAGAGAUGAAAUUUUGGCUCAAGUGAAUCAUUUGGAUUUUGCUCUAUUGGGCAAAUCCGUAAAUAAAACAAGAUCAGACACACAUCUGAACUGGACACAUAAGACAAGGUUGUUCGAGCUCCUGUACUGGUCCAAAUUAAAAUUGAGACACAACAUCGAUUUAAUGCAUGUUAAGAAAAAUAUGUUUGAUACACUGGUUGGAACUAUACUAGACAUUGAGGGAAAAACAAAGGACACAAUAAAAGCUCAGAUCGAUCUGGAAAAAAAUAGGCAUUAGGCCAGGUUUAUGGAUGAUGAGGGACAGAGACAUAGCCAGAAAGAAGCUUGCAUCAUUUUUGGUGAAACCGGAUAAGAGGAAAGAGUUUUUGUAGUUUCUAUCUUCUUUACAGUUUCCAUAUGGGUAUGCUUCAAACAUCGGUCGUUGCACAAACGUGGAUGGAGGUAAAUUUUCAGGCCUUAAGAGUCAUGAUUGUCAUGUGAUACUUCAACAUCUUCUCCACGUGGGAAUUCGACACCUCUUGCUCGAAGAUAUGGUGAAGUUGAUUAUAUUGUUGGCGAGAUAUUUUUCUUAAUUAACUGCAAGAACUUUGCGCAAGUCCAAUGUUAAACAGUUGCACGUCGAUAUUAUUGAAGUGUUAUGCAAGUUUGAACAAAUAUUUCCUUCAGCUUUCUUCACAAACAUGAUACACAUCAUGAUUCACUUGCCGGAAGAGGCACUUCUAGCCAGACCCGUCAACUAUCGAUGGAUGUAUCUGAUAGAAAGGUAUUUAAUCGCCAUAAAUACUUUAGUUCGUGAUGUAUGUACGAUUUGACUAAUUUUACACAUUAUUUUGUUUAUUGAUGUAGAGUACUCGGUGAAUUAAAAAAUAGUGUACGGAAUAGGGCAAAGCCUGAAGGAUCAAUCGUGGAGGCAUGGGUCACAUUUAAGUCGCUUACAUUUUGUGUAAUGUACCUACAAGACAUUGAAACUACGUCCAAUUGAUAGCAAUGCAAUAAUGACGGUGGUGUGAGAAGUGAAAAACUUUUUGUUUGUGCCCAAAUUGCACGACCCUUUGGUGAACCAAUCAGAAGGGAGUCGUUUAACAAAAUGGACAUGGAGGUAGCACAUUGGUUUGUACUUAACAAUUGUGACAAGACAAUUACCUACCUAGAUGAGCAUGAAGAGUUGAUGAAGCAGGAACAUCCUUCACAUUUAUAUGCCAAGAAGCACCGUGAAUUGUUUCCCUGUUGGUUUCAUGAAAAUGUAAGUUGUUCGUGAUUUGGGUUAUUUGCACAAUUGUGAAUGGUAAACAAACACAUUAACCUUUAAUCAUUAAUUUAGGUGAAGAAAUUGAAGGACAUGAAUUUGCCCGCUUACACUAAAGAAUUGUACAACUUGGCUAUUGGGCCCCUAAGCGCAAAAUUGUACUCUGGUUGUCAUGUAAAUGGCAUCAAGUUUUUGGCAACUGGUCACGUCGCGAUGGCAAGCUGUGUACUCAAAAUAGUGGGGUAGAUGUCCCAUUACGGGCAACAUUGCAAACAUUGAUUUCUAUGGAAAAUUGACAAGUGUUGUGCAAUUGCUUUACAAAGACCACUAUCAAGUUAUCCUAUUUAAGUGUCGUUGGUUUGAUACAAACCCACGUAGGGUUGGAGGUGUUAAGUAAGACAAUAGUUUGCUAUCAGUCAACAUUAAUAAAUGUUGGUAUAACGACGACCCCUAUAUUUUGGCAACGAUGACCAAACAAAUUUUCUAUAUAGAUGACCCUAAGGGCGGGAGGGGAUGGAAAGUAGUUCAGAAGAUUAAGCACAGAGGGUUGUAUGAUAUUCCUGACCGAGAUCCUGUUGACGAUGAUGAUUAUGGUGACGUUGCUAACCAACAACUGAAGACUUCAACGGAACUUGGUGCAUAUACACUAAAGGAUAUAACUAUUGUACAAGAACCGUAUUAGGUAGCCGAAGGUCUUGAAAUUGAAAUACCGACCGACUCCAUUAUGAUUGACCUCAAGGAUCUACCGCGGUACAAUGCACCCGAGCUCGCAAACGACGAUGUUGACGUGCUUACAGACAAGGAGGAAUGGGAGUCUAAGUCUGACGAAAGUGAGGAUAUUUAUUCUAGUUCAGACGAGGAUUAAUGAAAACUUGUGAUGUAAAUGUAAUGAUAUUUAUUUUGUAUACAAACAAAAUUUUCCUUUAAAAUUUGUAAAAAAAUUAUUAAACAAAAAAAUUUAUUUAUUUAUUUAAACAAAAAAUAAAUUAAAUUUACAAAUAUGCGCGACGACAUUUUGGAAACGUUUGUCAUGCAAAUAUUUAAAAAUUUGUUUUUUUUAUUUAAAAACUAGUCGCUAGACAAAAAUUAGAACACCCUCGUCGCUCAAACAUGUAAAAAUUUGACUUUUUUUGCAAAAAUUGGGCGCGUUUUUAUUUUGGCGCCUUCACUCUUCUCUCUAUCUCCCUCUCAUUCUCUGCAUGCGAAUCUCACUCUCUUCUCUCUCUCUAUCUCGAUUAUGUCCAAAUCUCACUCUCUUCUCUCUCUCUUCUCUCCAGCUCUCGCUCUCAUCACUCACUAUCUUAGUCUCUCCCUCUCUCCCUCUCUCUUUGUUUCCCUGUCUCUCUGUCACUCUCCCUCUCUCAUCCGCCACACUCUUACACCACACCAUCUCACUUCUGCCGCAACAUUACUAGGUAAGCACCCAGUUUCCCUUAAUUCAAUUAUUUAUUUGUGCAAUUUUUCAUUUUUUCUGUUGAAUUCUUUUAAUUAGAACAUUUAGGGAUUUAGGGUUCGAAUUGGGAAUCCUCGGUUAGGUAUUUAGGGUUCGAAUUGGGAAUCUUGGGUUAGGGUUUUCAAAUUGAGAAUAUUGGGUUAUGGUUUUCGAAUUAAGAAUAUUGGGUGAUGGUUUUCGAAUUAGGCAGGAUGCAGGGUAAAUCUAGUUGCUUUAUAUGGAAGUAGGUCUAAUAUGUAAAAAUAUAUGGAGUUUAUAUAUAUCUACAUGAUAUAGCAUCAAGUUCAGACCUUUCUCUUGCUAAUGGUAUUAAUCGAUUAGUAGUUCCAUAAAUGUCAUUUAGAUGAUACAUGAAUAAGUACUCAAUGAACUUGGACAUUAUUAUGAAUCACACCUUCCCUUUGUUAUACACAAAACUACCAUUUAUAGCCUUGAAAUUCAGAUAUUUAGUAACGUCAGUGUGAAUGAAUCUUCCAUUGAAGCUAAGAGAAAUAGAAGGCUACAAGUUUUUCGUCCAACUUAUGAGUCACUUGUAUCCUUAGUAAGUUCUUUUUCUUAGAAGCUAUAAAAAUUGUAAUUCGUGGCAUCAGUUUCAAACACCUAUAGAUAAUAUCUGAAUGUAAUGUGUGUUGUUUUCUGAAUGUAAUGAUACCACUAUAUGUUGAAUUGUUCUCAUGAUAAUUAAGUGAAAAUAUGCACAGAGGUUGUAAAGAAUCAAAUUAUCAGAACAACAUAGAGAACAAACCGAAAAUAAACCUAGUACUUUUAAGCGAUCACUUGUUUGAAAUAUCAGCAUUUAAAUGUCAAUGUGAAUCAGGACACGAACCAAAGCUCCGUUGGCCAUCUCUUGUUAAUGGUAAAUCUAGUUACUUUAUAUAAAAGUAGGUCUAAUAUGUAAAAAUAUAUGGAAUUUAUAUAUAUGUGCAUGAUAUAGCGUCAAGUUCAAACAUUUCUCUUGAUAAUGAUUAUGAUUGUUUGAUUUAUAAAGUUUGACAGGCUUCCCUACAUCGUUGGGGGCCAAAGUUUUGAAUUGUCAUGCAAACUGUUUUCAAUACAAGGUUUAUUUAUUGCAUGCUUCCUUGUUCUAGAAGAGCUCAUCAGUUCAACUGACCGACAAGGCGAACAUUUUCUGAGGUUGAAUGUAGUGUUUCCUUACAUAUGCAUGUUUUGUCCUUUUAACUUUUCUUUUUCAUGUUUAUCAUACAAUGUUUGUGCCCAUAGUAAGUUUUGUAUAAGGCAUGUAAAUAGGUUAUACAUAUAGGUUUUCACAUUUAAUAUUUAGGCAUGUGGGAUACUAUGGAUGUUCCUAUUAUGCAUGAAUAUAUGUUUUGCGCGCGUAUGGGUAAUUUGAUAAUUUGAUUCCUUCUUUAAUGGUAUUGAUGAAUUUAAAGAUAUAUCUUAUUUUGCUUCAAGGUUAGGAUAUUUUUUUAGUAUAUCCAAACUAGAUUAAUUAGUUAAUGCCAAUCAUUAUCAACUUACUAUAGAUGUCAAUCUCUCAUUUUCUGUCUGAUGGUAAAUCUCUGGUAUUCAUGAUUUCUACCACUUUUCUUAGCCGAAAUCUGCUCUCUCUAGCUUCCUGGUUGUUAAUAGGUCAAAGUUAUGGAAUGUAACUUUUUUAUUUAUUGUUUUUGUAGAUGUCGAACUUAAUUUCAAACCGUCGGGCAACUAGUAGGGUCAGUCAGACACCUUCUCCAGCAGUUAGUGCUGCAACCACCUCCCCACCUGAUAUGGGCACGACGGAUGUCCCUCCGGUCACGCCUUUCUGUCCAACGGUGUCUACGGCUCCUGCAUCAUCGACUUCUUCGGUGACGCAUCUUGUACUAAGCAUCCGACGGACUCAUUGACGACCCCAGAGUUCUAAGGAGGCUGAGCAGUUUGGUGAAGCUUCCUUUGUCCAUGGAGAGGGGUCCCAAACAGGUAAUGCAUCUUUCUCAUAGUAUAAUCGAAAUUUUGAAAGUUUUGUUGGUUGUUUUGAAAAUCGAACUUUUAAAUUAUUUGGUUUUUCAGGUAAGUUCAUAAAAAGUCAUUAGUUACAAAAUAUUGUCAAUGAAGAUACUAAAAUUUGUUGGUGGAUGACAAAAGAAGAUCCCCAAUCUUCUUUAGAAAAAAGUUGGUUGAUAAAUUCUUUGGUUACACUCUUAAAAAGUUAUCUUUCUUAUUCCUUUAUUUUCUCAUUAGUGAAAAUUUUACUAAUAUGGUGUGUUAAAAUUUCAAAGAGACAAGAAUACUCACAUCGAUAUUGUUCUCAACUUACUUAAUUACAUGUGCAAUUGAAUAUGUGUGUAGUUUCUUCGCAAAUUCAUGCAAUUAGAAGUGAAAACACUUGAUACAAGUUGUAAAUUUUGUUUUAAAGUCUCCAAUUGGUAUAAAUUGUUUGAAUUGUUGGGUGGAUGUGUUGUUUUUGUUGUUAUAUUGUUUGCAGGUUUUAGGAUAUGUUAUAGUUUUAAGGGAGGUUCUACCGAAUUUUUUGUAGAAAAUAGAAUUCGUCUAAUGUUUACUUUGUUUAUUUGGUAGUUCACAAAAAACCAGGGGCCCAUGCAGGCUUCUGAAGACAUCACAGACCACUCGCACCACGACCCAGAAGAUUACCAUUACGUGGGAUCCUCGACAUUGUGCGGCUGCAACAAAAGAGCAACACGGUGCGUUGACCAGCGACAUUGGCUUGGUUAUCAAGAAUCAUUGCCCCCUUCUGUGGGAGUCAUGGAAAGCUAUCCCACCUGAAGUCAAGGAAGUUGUUCUUCAUGAAUUAUCGAUAAGUAUUUUCAACUUCAAAUACUAAAUUUUUAUUAAAGUAUACAAAUAUUAUAAAUUUUAACCACUAUUUAUUUGUUGAGUUUUGCAACAUCACUAUGAGCUCACGAACCUCAAUACCAAUCAAAACCAAGCAACCAACGACCUUUGCGCCAGUAGGUUCACCCAAUGGAAGAGCGACAUCCACAAGCAUUAUGAGAUACAUGACGGUCCGGAGGUCGCUCUAGCAGUUGGGUGCCCUAUAGAGUUGGUGGACCGCCGAGAUGAAUGGGAAUGGCUCUGCGGCCAUUUUCAAGACGAGAAAUACCUCAUAAGUAUAAUAUAUAUUUCAAUAAUAUUUAAUCAAAAUUUUUAUUUUUUUAAAUAAUAUUUUAAUUUUUUCAUUAAUUUGUUAUAAAUAUCUAAACUAAUACAUUUUAUUAACUCAACAAAAAAAAGUGAAGGCAAACUCAAUCAAUAGGUCGAAGAAGAAACUUCUUCACCGCUCCAGCUCACGACUCUUCUCUUAUAGGUUGGAGGAGCGAUGUAAGGUAACCGUAUAUUUAUUUUAAGUUUUCAUUCUUUUUACUCUCUAUUACACAAUUGGUAAUCUAUACAACAACAACAACAACAAAGCCUUUUCCCACUAAGUAGGGUCGGCUAUAUGAAUCCUAGAACGCCAUUGCGCUCGGUUUUGUGUCAUGUCCUCCGUUAGAUCCAAGUACUCAAGUCUUUUCUUAGGGUCUCUUCCAAAGUUUUCCUAGGUCUUCCUCUACCCCUUCGGCCCUGAACCUCUGUCCCGUAGUCACAUUUUCGAACCGGAGCGUCAGUAGGCCUUCUUUGCACAUGUCCAAACCACCGGAACCGAUUUUCUCUCAUAUUUCCUUCAAUUUUUGCUACUCCUACUUUACCUCAGAUAUCCUCAUUCCCAAUCUUAUCCUUUCUCGUGUGCCCAUACAUCCCACGAAGCAUCCUCAUCUCCGCUACACCCAUUUUGUGUACGUGUCGAUGCUUCACCACCCAACAUUCUGUGCCAUACAACAUCGCUGGCCUUAUUGCCGUCCUAUAAAAUUUUCCCUUGAGCUUCAGUGGCCUACGACGGUCACACAACACGCCGGAUGCACUCUUACACUUCAUCCAUCCAGCUUGUAUUCUAUGGUUGAGAUCUCCAUCUAAUUCUCCGUUCUCUUGCAAGAUAGAUCCUAGGUAGCGAAAACGGUCACUUUUUGUGAUCUUUGCUAGAUUGCUCCGGUCAUUAGUGUGGAUAAGUAUAUAAAUGGAUAGAGAUAGGAAAGCAAACACAAGAUGUACGUGGUUCACCCAGAUUGGCUACGUCCACGGAAUAGAGGAGUUCUCAUUAAUUGUGAAGGGUUUACACAAGUACAUAGGUUCAAGCUCUCCUUUAGUGAGUACAAGUGAAUGAUUUAGUACAAAUGACAUUAGGAAAUAUUGUGGGAGAAUGAUCUCGUAACCACGAAACUUCUAAGUACCGGAGUGUGGUAUCGUCUUGACUUGCCUUAUCUGUCUCAUAGGUAGAUGUGGCAUCUUCUCUGGAAGUACUCUUCCUCCAUCCAGGGGUGGUAUUUGUAACUGGUGGAGAUGCACAAGGUAAUGUAUCAAUUUCACUUGAAGCUUACUUGUAGUUUCCGGCUUGGUCAAGCGCGAUACAAACCAUGUAGUAGGAGUCCCCCAACUCGCCGAGCUAGGGGAUCUGCUGAAAGAGAUGACAGACAAGGUAAGCAAUCAGAGCUCCGGCUGAUUGUUCACAUUCUCCCUAUCUUGCAGGCAACAUGAAGGAUAAAGAGAAGAAAAAUGAGAAGAGAUGAUAUGGGAUACUUUUGCUUUUGAAGAAGUAACUUUCCACAGGCUUAUUCUUGAACUGGGCUGGAGGGUUUUCUGGUUUCCUCCAGAGUAUAAGGCCGACUGAAGAAUUUGAGGGUCAAAACAAGUCCAUCAAAUCUAGAGUACGUUCGACCCUGCUGAUAUGGGAUACUUUUUCUUUUGACAGAGUAGUGGAUGUAUCGGCACGUGUGCUGUUACGCUUGUCUCCACAUGCUUCCUUGUAUCCUUCUCACUUGUCAUAUCUGUUCCUCAAGUAGAUGCGGUAUCUUCCCUGGAAGCAUAAGAUGUUGAAGAUGAGUACUCAAGAGCAAUGCCAGGUAAGUAAUCAGGUAAGGGGUUCCAGGCAGUCAAUUCCUGGCCGGAAGCUUGAUUCCAAGUGCUGACUGAUUGCUCUCUUUCUCCUUGUCUUGCAGGUAAGAACAAGGCCAAAGGAAAAGACAGGGAAAAAGCAUGAUAUGGGAUACUCUUGCUUUUAACCCUGAUGAUAUGAGAUAUUCUUGCUCUAGUAUAGCUUGUUUACAGAGGUAUUAUCGGGGGGAAAGAAAGCUGAAUAUUUCGAAAGGCUUCGUUGAGAGUGCCCUCUCAGAUAAGAUGAAGGGUUGAGCAUUUUUCCAGGUCUGCCUGUCCGUUGGGGAUAGAGGUCGACAUAUAUAGGAGUCUCCCUAACAUCAAGUAAUAAUGCUAUUCCUUUACCCUGCUUGGUCAUAGCACGGUAGUGGGAGCUGCCAGCUUCACAUGUUUUAACUCUGUCAGAGCACUUUGAAAAAGUGGUCUGUGGUAUCUGGAAAGCUGAUGUUGCGUGUGAAGAUUACGGACAAGCUUUAUCCAAGGAGAUCCAGCUCUUGAAGUUGGGAAAGUGGUGCCUCUUCGGUUUUCGAACAAGCAAUCCUGUCGGGGAUCUGGCUCUCGAGAUUCGGAUAACGAUGCCUCUUCGAUUUUUGAGAAAGCAAUCCUGCUGGGGGUCUGGCUCUCGAGAUUCGGAGAGCGGUGUCUCUUCGAUUUUUUAGAAAGUAAUCAUGUUGGGAUUCUGGCUCUCGAGAUUCGGAAGGCGGUGCCUCUUCGAUUUUGGAGCAAGCAAUCUUGUUGGGAGUGUUUUCUCGAAUGUGAGUAAAGGUUGGGCAUGUUUGCUAGUCUACCUUGCCACGAAGCACAAAGGUUGACACACCGGGACUUUCCAAUUAUCCAGUAGUGAUACUGUUCCUUUACCCUUGUGGGUAAUAAUAUGGUAGCUAGACCUUCAAAAUUUAUGUGUCUAAACUUUGUUAGUGUUGUUUCUUUGCUAUUCUUUUACCCUUCUUGGUCAGAGCGAUGUAGUGGGAGCUGCAAGCUUCACAUGUCUCAACUUUGUCAGAGAACUUUGGCAAAGUUAUCUGUGGUACCCAUGAGCUACUGUUGCGUGUGGGAAGUGGGUGAUUGAACAGUACGAUUCAUGUGCUUUCUACUUCGCCAGAAAUCUUCGACAGAAUGCCCAUAAUUUCCUCAAAGUUGAGUGUGCGUGUGACAGGUGCUGACAAGGCUGGAAAAGUAGGUGCCUCUUCGAUUUCUGAGAUCGGCCCUCGUGGUCUCUGAGCAGCCCAGCUUUUGAGAAAGCAAGCCUCUUCGAUUUCUGAUGCUUCACCGCCCAACAUUCUGUGCCAUACAGCAUCGCCGGCCUUAUUGCCGUCCUAUAAAAUUUUCCCUUGAGCUUCAGUGGCAUACGGCGGUCACACAACACGCCGGAUGCACUCUUCCACUUCAUCCAUCUAGCUUGUAUUCUAUGGUUGAGAUCUCCAUCUAAUUCUCCGUUCUUUUGCAAGAUAGAUCCUAGGUAACGAAAACGGUCGCUCCUUGGUAUUUCUUGAUCUCCGAUCCUCACCCCUAACUCGUUUUGGCCUCCAUUUGCACUGAACUUGCACUCCAUAUAUUCUGUCUUUGAUCGGCUUAGGCGAAGACCUUUAGAUUCCAACACUUCUCUCCAAAGGUUAAGCUUUGCAUUUACCCCUUCCUGAGUUUCAUCUAUCAACACUAUAUCGUCUGCGAAAAGCAUACACCAAGGAAUAUCAUCUUGAAUAUGUCCUGUUAACUCAUCCAUUACCAACGCAAAAAGGUAAGGACUUAAGGAUGAGCCUUGAUGUAAUCCUACAGUUAUGGGAAAGCUUUCGGUUUGUCCUUCAUGAGUUCUUACGGCAGUCUUUGCUCCUUCAUACAUAUCCUGUAUAGCUUGGAUAUAUGCUACUCGUACUCCUUUCUUCUCUAAAAUCCUCCAAAGAAUGUCUCUUGGGACCCUAUCAUACGCUUUUUCCAAAUCUAUAAAGACCAUGUGUAAAUCCUUUUUCCCAUCUCUAUAUCUUUCCAUCAAUCUUCGUAAGAGAUAGAUUGCCUCCAUGGUUGAGCGCCCUGGCAUGAACCCGAAUUGGUUGUCCGAAACCCGUGUCUCUUGCCUCAAUCUAUGCUCAAUGACUCUUUCCCAGAGCUUCAUUGUAUGACUCAUUAGCUUAAUACCCCUACAGUUCAUGCAAUUUUGUACAUCACCCUUAUUCUUGUAGAUAGGCACCAAAGUGCUCGUUCGCCACUCAUUUGGCAUCUUCUUCGUUUUCAAAAUCCUAUUAAAAAGGUCAGUGAGCCAUGUUAUACCUGUCUCUCCCAAAACUUUCCACACUUCGAUUGGUAUAUCGUAUGGGCUACUACUGCUUUUCUAUGCUUCAUCUUCUUCAAAGCUACAACCACUUCUUCCUUCCGGAUUCUACGAUAAAAAUAGUAGUUUCUACACUCUUCUGAGUUACUCAACUCCCCUAAAGAAGCACUCAUUUCAUGUCCUUCAUUGAAAAGAUUAUGAAAAUAACCUUUCCAUCUGUCUUUAACCGCGUUCUCUGUAGCAAAAACAUUUCCAUCCUCAUCCUUGAUGCACCUCACUUGGUUUAGGUCCCUUGUCUUCUUUUCCCUUGCUCUAGCUAGUUUAUAGAUAUCUAACUCUCCUUCUUUGGUAUCUAGUCACUUAUACAUAUCGUCAUAAGCCGCUAACUUAGCUUCUCUCACAACUUUCUUCGCCUCUUGCUUCGCUUUUCUAUACCUUUCACCAUUUUCAUCGGUCAUAUCCUUGUAUAAGGCUUUACAACAUUCCUUCUUAGCCUUCACCUUUGUUUGUACCUCCUCAUUCCACCACCAAGAUUCAUUUUGGUGUGGGGCAAAGCCCUUGGACUCUCCUAAUACCUCUUUUACUACUUUUCGGAUACAACUAGCCAUGGAAUCCCACAUUUGGUUAGCUUCCCCCUCUCUAUCCCACACACACUGGGUGAUUACUUUCUCUUUGAAAAUGGCUUGUUUUUCUUCUUUUAGAUUCCACCAUCUAGUCCUUGGGCACUUCCAAGUCUUGUUCUUUUUUCUCACUCUUUUGAUAUGUACAUCCAUCACCAACAAGCGAUGUUGAUUAGCCACGCUCUCUCCUGGUAUAACUUUGCAAUCCUUACAAGUUAUACGAUCCCUUUUCCUCAUUAGAAGAAAAUCUAUUUGUGUUUUUGACGACCCACUCUUGUAGGUGAUCACAUGUUCUUCUCUCUUCUUAAAGAAUGUGUUGGCUAAGAAGAGAUCAUAUGCCAUUGCAAAAUCCAAGAUAGCUUCCCCAUCCUCGUUUCUCUCCCCAAAACCAUGGCCACCAUGAAAACCUCCAUAGUUGCCUGUCUCCCUGCCCACGUGUCCAUUUAAAUCUCCUCCUAUAAAUAACUUCUCUUUCUGAGCAAUUCCUUGCACCAAGUCUCCAAGGUCUUCCCAAAAUUUCUCCUUCGAACUCGUAUCCAACCCUACUUGAGGUGCGUACGCACUAAUCACAUUGAUAAGUUCUUGUCCUAUUACAAUCUUGAUUGCCAUGAUUCUAUCUCCUACCCUCUUGACAUCUACAACAUCUUGUGUCAAGGUCUUGUCCACGAUGAUGCCAACACCGUUUCUCGUUCUAUUUGUGCCCGAAUACCAUAGUUUAAACCCUGAGUUUUCUAGAUCCUUUGCCUUACGACCAACCCACUUAGUUUCUUGUAGGCACAUAAUAUUUUAUCCUUCUCCUCACCAUAACUUCUACUACUUCCAUAGAUUUUCCCAUCAGGGUUCCUAUAUUCCACGUUCCUAAACGCAUUUUGCUCUCUUGAACUCUACCCUUCUGUCCUAGCUUCUUCACCCUUCCCCGUCUAAUAGGAUCAAAGUACUUCUUUUGUGUGUCCCGUGUAAAGUUGAUAGGAGCAUAUGCUCCCAAACAACUUUGAGUGGAGUCGUUCGAAAAGAAGUUUCUAUAGCCCCCUUGCUCAUUUAACACUGCAUCCGGGUGCCGAUGGAGAUACAGCGACCCUUGCUCACUUAUCACUGUGCUCGGGCCACACAGCGCGCCACUUACGGGUGACGCCCUAGCUUUAGCGCGAUUUCGUUCUGGAUUCAUUUUCAUAAGGAUUCGACGUAAUCAUGGAGUGCCGGCUGUCGACUACCUGACGCCCUCCCCCUCCUCCUUUAUCCGGGCUUGGGACCGGCAAUGUAAGAUAAACUUACACGGCGGAGUUACAAUUGGUAAUCUAUGUGUUAAUAUUUUUUUUUUAUUCAAGGGGUCAAAGUUUCUUAAGAUUGAUAUGUUCAAGAAGGUGUACAUUCGGCCCAGGGAUGAGCUGACGGAGCAGCUUCAUGUAAAUUAUUUCAAUUUUUUAAUAUUCAAUUUGUAUUAAUAUUAAUUACAUGUAUAUCAAAAUUAUUUUAUUUAUUUCAUUUUUCUAGUUCACCAUGGUGGAGAAGGGCCAGACCAUUCUGGAGGAGAUGGUUUCCCAACUUCCCCUAGAGACCCCGAUCGAGAAGGUGUUUCCCCCUGAAGAUGCUUGUUUUUAGAUCAUAAUGGACACACUCGAUCAGACCCUCAGUCGUAGGCAUGGGAAUGUUCAUCAGGGGCUUGGGAAAGUCCGCCUUCGGGACCAGUCUGCCUCAUCCUCCAUGCAGAAAACAAAAGAGGUCGAAUCGCUAACAUCUAAAGUGGCAAAUCUAAAUGAGCAGAUUGCCGCCCAGCAGUGUCAGCUGGCGGCCCAAAGUAGUUUGAUGAACCAAAUUCGUCUCGUACUUCAAAUCUCUGGCAUUCGGUUCCCCGAUGUUGAAACAUCUCUAGCAACGACCUCUCAGCCCCCCAUCACAGCUACUACAACCUCCUAGCCCCACAAUGUAGCAGCAACACCACCAGCAAGCGAUUGUGAAGUGGACGACUACAUAUUCUAGUUUUUUUCUUAAACUGUUUUCAAAUUUAAAAAUAUUUCUUUCAAUUGUAUGUACAUUUUCAAUAUUUUUUUAAUUCAAUAUUCUUCUUUACAUUUUCUAUUUUUAAUUUCAUUAAAUUAAUUUAUACAUAAAACAAUAUUAUCAACAUUUAAAAGGAAAAAAUAAAUAAAAAUGAUUUUAAAAAAUUAAUUUUAAAAUCUUAUUGCAAUGGCCUUCUGUCCGUCGUGCAAAGGUCUUGGGGUCGAACCCUAGUUUCGUCACCUGGAGUAUCACACGCAAAAAACACUCAUUCAUCACUCUUCGUUUCGCGCAACGACCACCAAAUCAAUCGCGCAACAUUCAUUUCAUGCGACAAAGCACUUUCCUCCGUCGCUCAAUGUCUGAUGUCACGAGCUUUGGGCAACCGAAUUUACACAACAUCCUCUUCGCCGUCCAAUGUUUUCGGCUACCGUAUUUGCCUUUGUGCGACAAAUGUCCCUUCAUCGCCCAAGUAGUUAUGCUUAGUAGUGAAAGGAGAUUAUAAUUUUUAACCAAAUAGUACGUAGUCCUCAUUUCUUUUUUCUUAUAGGAAAGAUCAAAUACUUAGUGGUAUCCGAACCUGUUGUUGUCUUUCUUUAAAUAUUUGUACCAGAUGAUGAAGAAAUCCGUCUUUAAUAGUUGAAUAUCAUUGUAUAAAGAAAAAUGUGUAUUAUAACAAUUUAUUGACAAAAUCCCUAUUUUGAGUUAUUCACCCCAAUCUAAUUGGGAAGCUAUCAUUGGCCUAAACCCUUAAUCAAAGUAUUCUUGUUGCAAGACCUUCUCUCUCUCUGACCCUCUCUCCAUCCAAACCCUAGAUAUCAAAUCUCAGCCAUCGGCCCUUUACUCUACUUUGGGGUCAGUGUGUGACAUCCCUGCCUCCCCUUUGUCUCUCUACCACCUCGCCAUUUCUAUGUUUCUUCCUCCAUCUACCCCACUUGUCCUCCUUCCAACCUUCACCCAUCUGCCUCUACUUAUUUUUCCCCUUCACUGCCCCAUCCACCUCUCGUGACUCGUCUUCUACUGUUUUCAAGUUUCAUUUUUUUCAGUUUUUUCUUUUUCUUUUUUCAGUAGACCUUCCUUUCUCAGUCUCUUUCCUUCUCCCCACUAAUUUAUGAGUUCCUUCUCCCCACUAAUUUAUGAGUGGCUUUCAGUAGACGUUGGUGGGUCGCAUCUUCCCUUUUGGCUAGACAUAGUGGCUGCUCUGUAUGACCAGUUCAGAUGGCACACUUCUUGAAGACUAAUUUUGACAACCGUGUCAACCAAGGCAAUGGAAUUGACCUUUGUGCCGCCUUGGGUAGCGAGGUUUGUUGAAUUCAUACCACUUGGUGCCCAACAAAGGCUACUCUGAUGCUCUCCUCGACAUGUUAUGUGGUUACGUCACAUCAUACUGCCAAAUUUGACAGUCAACCUCAUUGAGGAUCAUAUUUGAUGACCUUGAUGACCCGAACUUUGGGAUCCGGUGUUUUCACGUUGCCCUAGGCGACGAGAUUGGUUAAUUCUACUCCAUUAGAUGCUCUAACAUGGCAACUCUGUCGCCAUGUGACCCCAGAUCAAAUUUGGCAGCAAGGGGGAGAGAUGCUAUUCCAUGCCAUGCCACAUUAGAUUUGGCUUCUCGGUUGGAAAACAAUGAUCCUAUAUUUUAUUAUUGUUGUUGCUGAUUUGGACAUUUUGACAUUUCCUUUGAAGAUGCUCUUACUUUCUAACUGUUUUUUUUUUUUUUUUUACAACAAACAAAGAAAGAGUCAAAUAUAUUUAAUUUAUUUUUUUAAUGCACGUGUCUCAUUGACAACCAAUAGAAUAAAAACUAAAAUCAAUUUUAAUUAUUUUUAAAAGUUAAUGCAAUGAUAGGGCCCAAUAUAAAUAAUAAAAGGGUAAAUUACAUAAUACCCUAUCAGGUUUAAGGUCUAUUACAACCUCAUACAACAUUUUUAAAACAUUUCACUUUCAAACCUCACAUACUAUUUUAUUUCAAAAUAAUACAUCCGUUAGAUUUUCCAUCCAUUGGUCUAUUAAAUGCUGACAUGGCUGCCACAUUUGUGCUGAUGUGGCUGCCAUAUGGCAAAAAAUAAUUUUUUAUACAUUAAAAAAUAUUAUAAUAUUAACCCUAUUAAAAAAUAAAAAUAAUAAAAAAAUAAGAAAAAUCCAAACCCAUAAAUCUUUCCCCGCAACCCCACAUCCCACCCCCCUUACCCAUCUCUUCCUUCUCGUUCGUCCAUCCCCUUCAUCCCUCCACCCCUCCACCUGAGCACCCCUCAGCGCGGGUCCCACCUCUCUCUUUCCUAGAAAUUCUUCCCCGCAACCCCACAUCCCACAUCCAUCCCCUCCACCCGAGCACCCCUUAGCGCAAGUCCCACCUCGACCUAUCUCUCUCUCCCCAUCCAUCUCUCUCUUAGAAAUCAUUCCCCGCAACGUCACAUCCCACCCCUACCCCAUUACCCAUCUCUUCCUUCCUGUCCGUCCAUUCCAACUUCGACGACCUCCUCAUCUUCAACCCUUCCAACCUCGACUUCUCCUGCCUUGCCUCCCCCGACCUCCUACCAUAUUUCUCGAGUCUGAUGACUCCCCGGGGGGGCAACCACCCAACACCUUCUCCUUAACCCCCAAGCCCACCACUUCCUCCAGCUCCACCGCCACUACUGCCCACCUCCAAAGCUUCUCCGUUGACUCUGACUUUUUCAACGAACUGGGCAGGACUCUCUACAGGUUUGGGGGUUAGGUUAUUAGGGUUUCGAAGUGGGGAUUUUGUAAAUGGGUUGGUUGAUGGGUAGAAUUAGGUAUGGAAGUGCUUCAAUGGGGAUGAACCGCGGGCUGAGCGAUGGAUUUUGUAAAUUGGAGUUGUAGAGAGGUGAGGAGGAAGGAAGGGAGUGGAUUUUGUAAAUAGGAGUUGCAAAGAGGUGAAGGGGAAAGAAGGGGAUCUGGGUUCAGGUUUUUCUGGUAUAUAUAUUUUUUUAAUAGGGUUAAUAUUAUAAUAUUUUUAAUGUAUAACUUUUUUUUUGCCACGUGGCUACCACAUCAACAUUUGACAGACCAAUGGAUGGAAAAUCUAACAGAUGUAUUAUUUUGAAAUAAAAUAGUACGUGAGGUAUGAAAGUGAAAUGUUUUAAAGAUGUUGUAUGGGGUUGUAAUAGACCCCAAACCUGAGGGGGUAUUAUGUAAUUUAUCCAUAAUAAAAUAAAUACUUAAUAUUGAAAAAGAAUAAGAUUUAACAUUUGUAUUCAAUUGGCCACAUCAGCCGCCACUUAGUACUACGAUCUAGUAGUAUUUCUCUUCGCUUGUAAGUGAGAGGUCUUAGGUUUGAUUCUAACCAAAGACAAAGUUGAAUCAUAUUAUUGCAAGCCCAUUGUGAGGCUAAUCCACUCCCUCCCCAACCAUUUUGGUCUAAAUAAUAUCGAUUGUUCAAAAAAUAAAAUAAAAUAAAUUGGCUGCAUCACCCAUCAACUAAAAUUUUGACAUAUUAUAUUUGACAUCUCCUUUUGGAAAUGCUCUAAGGAGACUCUUUCAAAGUAAAACUCUUCAUGGGCUCUCUGCCAUAUCACAGUUCAACAUCAAUUCCUGACCCAUACCAACAUUAUAAAACAUUAUGCCAAAAAUAUGAGAUGGUAGAAAGUCUAUGGAAAGUCACUCUUGAGAGAGUCUCCUUAGACCAUUUCACAGAUCAAGGAUUAGGGUUUCGAGGCCAAGGGUCGAGUCUAAAGUCCAAAGAUCAUGGUUUAAUUGGGACGAGAAGAUCAACUUUCUUCAUUAAGAAUGUAACAAUUUACAUGAUACUAAAAUGAAAGUACAAGGAUAAAAUACUAAUUAUUUGCAUACAGAAAAUGAUAAAAACAAGGGUACGUACAUCUGUAAUGGAAAUGCCAAAGAAAAUAAAUUAUGUAUGUUAAUGCAGGAAAAUAACUAGAUCAUGGAUCUAAUUUGUUAAAUUUUUCUUUAGUACGUAGUCAUCAAAUUAAGCAGGAUUCAUAGUAGUACUGCCAGUCACGCUCGUUAUGCUUAUCUUCUUUCCAUGGACAUUUCAUGAACUACUGAUAAAAGUCAGAGAUCAUGUCUAAACUUUCUAAAACACAUACUCAUAUUCUUUAGAUGCAGCGAAACAAAACAAAAAACAAGAAAAGAACGGAAAAAAUUAUCAAGAAGAUUCAAAUGCAAGAUUGACAAGCGAUUCUGGAAUUUUCCAAGUAAUUUUUUGUUUUUUUUUUUUUUUUUGAAAACUAGAAUUUUUCAAGUGAUAGAUUAUAGUGUCAAAGUAAAAAAAUUGUGAUCCUAAAAAGGAUGCUAAAUGCAUGGAACUUGGCUCGUAAUUUGGAUUCUUUCAAUUUCCCUUUCUUUUUCUUUUUUUUGUUUCAAUGCGACUGGUCUUUCACUAGGGUUGCAUGCACUUCAUACAAUCGUAUUUCUUGCGAUUGUAAGCACAUAAUAUAAAGUUCAAGCACAUCUUAUUUUCCAAGAGUUCCAAGACUUUAUUUGCAACUAGUACGGACCAUCAUUUUACUUCCAAGCAUUAUAAGCAGGCAUGGUCCCAAUGAGAUAAUGCCGAACCCAUGACAGAAAGCACAAUCAUUAUCCUUGUUUAAUUGUUCAGACAACUCGUUUCCCAGUCGACGUGGAACGUUAUCCACCUUUGUUCAAUUCUGUUAUUUUCUAUCCCACCACCAUAGUACUUUACUAGUCACUCCAUGUAUGGUUAGGAUCUAGAGACACGUUUUUUACACACAUUCUAACACUUAUUUAUGGAGUCCACUUUAUAAUGCAUUUUAACGAUCCAACAAAUGAAUGGAUACAGUUUUAAAAAGAAACACUAAAUUUAAUCAAACGUCAUUUGGUUUCGCAUUUAGAUGAUUUUUAGUGUACAUAACUUUUGAGGUAAGACAUAAAAAAUAAACGGUUCUUUAAAAUAUACAAAGUGGACCUCACAAAAAUAUGUAUUAAAAUCGUGUGCCUUCAAUCCUAACCCCUAUGUAUGUAUGUAUGUGUGUGUGUAUAUGUAUAUAAAAUAUAUGUAAUAUAUAAUAUGGUAUAUUAUAAUAUCAUAUACAUAUACAUUGAGAUUCUCUAUAUGCAUAUUAACUAAAUAGUAUUAGUAGUUUAGAAUUAACACAGACAAAAAGAAUCGAUGUUUUUAUAAUAAAAAUCCAAAAAGAAUCCAUUAACUAAUAAUAGAGAGUUUUAACGAAAAAUCCGCGGUACUGUUCACUUUAACGAAAACCCACAUUUUUACACUAAAAAGUCAAACAUUGUACUAUUCACUUUACACUUUAUUUUGUCCUUAUCGUUGAAACUAAAAGUUUUCAAGCCUUUUUCAUUAGUUUUUCUCUAAUAAAAACAAUAAACUUGCAGUAAUGAUUUUGUACAUAUGCAUUAGUCAGAAGAUAAGGUAUCACAUGACUAGCUAGUAGAUAGCAAAAUAUAUAAAUUAAAGCUUUGUCAUGAUAAAGUGUCAACCUUAUUGGAAUAAUUAUCAUAUAAUCAUGAUUAUUCAUAUUCUAGUCACCUUUGUGUUUAUAAGAAAAGUCCACACAGCACUUCUGAUCUUAGGUAGCAAUCAAAUAGCAUUGCCACGCACUUGUGACAUUAUGAUUUGGGUUCUUAUCCAAACCCUAACCGUAUAAAAAUAAUAAUCAGCAAAUGAUAUGGAAUUCAAAACAAGAACAACAAAAAAUUGGAUCUUAGCAUAUACCCUUAAUCUGUGUAGAAUUAUCAAUGUUGUAAACAUAGAAAAUCUUAAACUUGAAGUUUGUUGCAAAAACGGUGGUCUGUUAGAUGCUUUGUCUUUUAGUACAAUUUUUUGCUCAAAUUGGUGUAUUACAAUGACCCUGAUGAGAGAGAUUAUUACUAGAAACCAUCGAGUUCACAAACAAACAAGUAGAAGGGAGAAAGAUGAUGAUUCAUUCACAUAUAUGCAUGGAAAAGUCAAGCUAUGAACAAAAUUAAAUGAAUAUUGGACCUUGGACACAUUUCUCAGUCUCAAAUUUGGAUCCACAACCCCAGCUGACGCUCUCCACAAAAUAUCCAUCCAAAAAUAAAUAAAUUGAGGCAAAAAAGCCUCCCUCACGAAAUGAAAUUUAACACGUGCUAAGUAAUGAACGUGCAAUAGAUGGUCCAGUAGAAACAAAUGAGAUGGGUCAAGGAAUGGGACCUAAUCAUCAAUGAUCAUGAUCCAUGUAUCUUAAUCCCCAAUUAUCUUAAUCUAAAUUAUCUAUAUCAUUAGCAAUUACUAGUUAAUUAGAAUCUUAUCCGAAACAUGGCCAUUGAAACUUCAGAAAAAGUGGAAGAAAAUUAACCAAAAGGACAAAAACUAAAGGGGUGUGCAAUCACAUAUCUCAUUUUACUUCUUACACAUUUUUUGUUAAUUUAUAUCUAUUGAUUUUCUUUAAUUUAUCUGAUCCGACAACUAAAAAUUAAAAAAAUAUAUGAAAAAUAAAAUAAAAUGUGUGAAUAUCACACACUAAACUAAAAAGCGUGGCAACGUUGUGUUGCUUCGAUCUUGGAGGCUUUGCUUUUUGAAUUUUGGAUGGCACAAGGAACCAGGACGUGUGUGAAGGGUUUGUUAGGGAAAACAUGACUUGAUGGAUCUGUUCUGUUCGCGUGAGUCAGAGAUUUCUUUUUUAUAAUUAAUAUUGUAAUUUUUUUAAUAAUUGAAAUUUUCUUCUUGUUACGGAAUUUCUUGUAACUCUAUUCAACUAUAUAGUUUAUAUAUAUUUGACUAGUUUAAUAAUUCCACUCAUAAUGCCAAAUUAUUAUUGUAAUUUUCAACGAUGAGUUUUACGAAAGUUUCGAAUAAUGCGGAUAGGCUAACCAUUAAACUGCUCUGGAAUAGAUGAAUCGUCAAAGACAAUCACGAAUAAAUAGGCUUAAAGUUUAAGCCUAGUAAAUUGUAUAGUUUGUAUACAUAGUGCCUCCUUAAGAGAAGAAUACACAUAAUAAUUCAAACCCUAAUUUUCUAGUACAAUUUUAUAGGAUGCCAACCCCCAACCCACCCAAUUGUCCCGCGCAUAAUCCAAUACACAUUGUUUAGUAAUUAAUAGAAGGGAUCAGAAGGAUCAUGUGACCUAAACUGGAUUUUCAUCAAUCAAGACAUCACAAUCAUAUCAUGUGCUCUCUGGUCCUACUUGUUUUGUAACACGGUUUCUACGUGGCUCAAUACACAAUAUUUUUAAUGCUAAAGUAACUAUCUGAUUUUCAUUUCAAUCUUAAUCUAUUUAUUUUUUUUGUUCUACUCAGUACUACAUACUAAAUUCUUUAUCUAGACAAUAAAAUUUUGAGUUUUAAUAUUAUAUUGUGUGUUGAAUAUGCACAUUCUUAAUACGAUAUUAGUAUUACUUUGUUAUUUGUGUUUUAUAUUUUGUGUGUUAUUCAUGUGCGAAUUUGUUGAAUACAUUAUAACAUCCAAAAGUAUUUUUCGAACUUAUAACUCUCAUUUGUUUUUCUCAUUUUUCUUUCUUGGUAGUCCGAUUCCUAGUAUUGAAUAUUUAUUCUGCUUUUGAAAUUAUGACCAUAUUGUCAGUAAGGAAUUGUCUCAUUCAAGUUUAUUUAGCCACAAAAUGAAAGAUAAAAAGUUGAAAUUAGCAUUCUUUAGGAGUUUGAAAGUUCGAAACCUUGAGUUCUAAAAAAUGUCCAAGUUCAUACUCACAUUUAAGUUGUCCAAAAUUCGAUCCAACCUCAAAUUGUCCUCAUCCUACCCUUCAAGGGGAAAAUUAUUAUGAGCUUUGCUUAGGUUGGUCAAUCACCCACACAAUAAUAUUCUCUGAAAAUUUGAAGAAGAAUUGCAAUUGAGUUGUGGAAAAUUUUCAUGUCUGAAUCAGAAAGGAAAUUAUCAGAUUAUGCGUUAGUUUAGAUAAUUAUAGAUAUUAUACCAAAUCAAUUAAAUUACUAUAUUUACAGAAGCAAAAGCAAUGACGCAAGGGCUCCCUCACUAGACACUAUCAAUUUCCAUGACAGGAGCACCGAUAGAUAAAUAAGCAAAUCGAGGCUAAGUCAUCACAAGUUCCAAUAGCAAAAGCGCACACAAAAAAAAGAAAAAGCACUUAAACGAAAAGCACCCAAUGAUUCUUGGCAUAUUGGGAGGACGAAACCAAAGAGAUCCCCAACAGUUGGAUAAGAAAGACGUUAAAGAUUUAAAGUGGAGCUACUGUGUUGUAGAUAUUAGAAAGAAACACAUGUGAAAUGAAUACCAAAACUUAAUACUGAUGAACUUUCUUCCGAACAUCAUAGGCGCCGAAGACAACGUACUCGCACCACUACACGUUUCGCAUUCUUGAAGAAUAUAUAACUCAACACUGAUGAAGUUUUCUCCAUAUGAAUAAUGGAUUACAUUAAGUGUGCAUCAUAAUUAAAAGAAAAGGUCGAUCCGAGGCAUAAUUGCAUGCUAAGCUGCAAUGUACAACAGCAUAAAAGUACAAAGAAUCAUGUGAUUUUAGCUUAUUUGUAUUGAAAUGAUCAUAUUCCAUCACAUUCUUAUGAGUAGUCGUCGUACCCAGUGCACAAGGCUCCCGCUUUACGCAGGGUCUGGGAGAGGUGAAUGUCGGCUAGCCUUACCCCCAUUUAUGGAGAGGCUGCUCCCAAGUCUCGAACCCGAGACCUACCGCUCAUGGGCGAAGGCACUUGCCAUCGCACCAAGUGCGACCUCUACAUUCUUAUGAGUAGUCUGAGAAAAAAAUACAGUAUGUAUAUAGCAAGAAUCAAGUUUUUCCCAACUAUACUUCCAAGAUGUGCAAGCCCUCUGAACUCCGGUGCACACCUUCCAAAUUACUAGUUGAAAAGGCCUCAAGUUUUCCUCUCUGCAGAUGCUCAAGGAAAUCCAUGACGACUGGAUCAGUCCAAGGAGCUCCAAAUGGAGCUUCAGCGCCUGCAACCCACCCUAGGUGGCCACCUUUGGGUGUGACUAUCAACAUGCAGUUUGUAUUGUCCUGUGAAAACAGUAAGCGAUGUACUAUAUCAAAAUGCCGAUAGUACAUAGAAGGAGAUCACACGAGAUAUGUCCAAAGAAAUAUUCUUUACAAGCAGAGGGAACACGAGGGUAGCUCAACAGUCCACCAAUCCAUUUGAUGCAACUGAUCUAAGGAAAAUGACCUCUUUCUUUAGAUUUUCUAAAAAUCCCAAGCAUAUGGGGUCCGUUGAAUUUUUACAAGGAAGAGAGGCUCCCUAGUCAAUUCAUUUUUAAGGGUAUGUUCAGUCUAGAACAAUCCGUCCACGCAGCCUUCUCCCCUAAACCCUAUCACGUUAGUUAGUAUUUCAAAAUUUGUGGUUUAUCUUGGUGUAUACGGCAUUACAUAUGCUGAAUUAUAUUGAAAAUAACAAAAUACAAGAACUAUUGGAGAAUUAACAAAUAAACCACUAAUCCCUAUGUUUGGAUGAGGGACUUUCAAAAUACCAAGGAACUCUACACUAGAUUGCUAAAAAUGCAAUACAAGAACACUGCCAAUAAACUACUCGAGCACUACAAAGCCACUACUAAAACACUAAAUAGGCCACUUAAAAGCAGAAUCUUAAAUGACACCUUUCAAGGAGUCAUUCGGAAGUUCUCUCAUAUGUAUUGCAUCUAGUCAUUUCCAAGUCUCUCUAUCUGACUUUUCUAGAGCAUUCCUAACAAAUAUUUCCUCAGUUUUCAUCGCACUAUUAAGGCCCUCAUCCAAAGUUAAGGUUGAACGUAAUUUAGAAAAUAGUAUCUUGGUCUCGAGACACUACAAACCUUGAUAUCCUCACGAGGAAUUCCCCGGUUUGGAGCAAUUGGAUCAUUUUCCGCCUGAAACCCAUAAGAACAAUAAGUGAAAGCUCAUUUAAGUUAGUUGAAUACGCUUUUAAUUAUUCCACUCAUGCAAUCAAAUUAAGAACACUAUGUUCGAUAGAAAAGACAUAACUCUAAAGGAUGGAUAUGGUAAGUCAUGACGAAGGAAAGAAGUAGUUCUGUCCUCUUCUUGUUUCGAAAGGGAUAAGCAGUGUGAAAUAUAAUAUAAAGCUAUGGAUUACCACUAUCCAUCCAUAAAGUGGAUUGAAGAUAGAAAAAAAAAACAGUAAUGUCAUAACUUGUGCUUAUUAUGCUCAUCAAUCCCUCAAUCAAUCUAUUCAUUGUUAGAGGGAGAGAUUAUACUGGGCAUGGGGUUCCUUAUCCCUCUGUUCUUCCUUUCCACUCAAAUAAGCAACUUCAAGGAUUGACAAUCUCCCUUCCGUCACUAACAUCUUGCAUCUUUCCUUUGCUCUCCCUUUUCUAUCAUUCCUACCAAACUGGGUAUAAGAAUACACCGCCAAACAGAUAUGCCCAGGCUCGAUGUGUCUCAUGUUUUUUUAUAACAAGUCCAUUAUAAAUUUAACCAGAAUAAAAACGAAGCUUUUAGAAUCUACACACUUCAACAUCGGCUGCAAGAUUCAUAAAAUUUCUAUUAACCAUAUGAAAUGUUCGAGAGAAAAGUACCUGAAUGCAAAGCAAUGGGGUGCAGACAUCCUUUAUGGAAUUUGAACUACUGGAAUUGGAGUAGUAGUCAUCUACUGACUUGAAGCCAAAUGAAACUGCAAGUUUUCAUUGAAGGUGUUCUCAUCAGAUGAAUGUCGUGUUAUCCCAUCUGAAAUCAAAUGGUUUCACGUACACAAUAUACGUACCACGAGUUAGUCCAUCAUCAAACUCCCUGACGGACUUUGCAUUGGCAGCCAAUGGAAUAUUGUACUCACCACCCAUGUCUUCAAAGAGUAGAGCAUGCCUACAAUGUAGUCCCGUAAAAUUGGGUUAUUUAUUGAUCUCAAGCUGAAAUAACUGUUGAGAGUGAACUUGCAAGAUAUUGAUCUCAAGACAUAAAAUUAAUAAUGCAUGAUAUUUACUUCUUGAAAAUUUUGCACAGUGAACUUGCAAGAGCUUUGUCAUAAACAUUAUUAAAGCCCUUAUGGAAGUCCUCGUCUGCAAUGACCAAAUUGAAAGGAUUACACAACGAGACAGCACCAGAAAGACGGCAUGCAUUAGAUUCCUGCAGGUACCACAUCAUUGGAAUAUAAAUGAAAUGCAAGUGGAGCAAAAAACGUUAAAGAAAAUCCCAGUGCAAAUGGUAGGUCCGACUAUUUAUAAGUGAAGAUAAGAUGUAACUUCAUUGAAAAUUCAAGGCCAUAGAACGCUACUAUAUGGACAUAUAUGACUAACAUUAGCUCUAUAUUUACAUGCCAAGUGCAGACUGCGUGACAAACCAAAUCCAACUAGUACACCAUUCUAUAGCUUAGUGUCAGCUCAACACGUCAUUUGUUGGUCUUAAAGGCAUUUAUGAAUUCCGUUGAGCAGAAACAACAGCUUUCUACAACUAGCUAGAUUACUGCCUUCUAAGCAACAGACACCAAAAGUUUUUAGUGCAAAUCAAUGAUCCAAACGAACAAAACGAAAUCCUGAAAGCGAUUCGUCAAUCACAAACUAUACAGACAGAAUGUGAGAGGAAAUGAGAGAAGUUACACUGUACCUGACCCAAGUAGCGAACAAGAAUGUUAGCGCCAAGAGACCAACCAACAGCAUAGAGAUUAGCUUUCGGAUACCGAGUACCAACAUGAGCCACUACUUCACACAUAUCUCCUAAAAAUGAAGCCGAAUAGAACUGCAUAUCAGCGCCAUAAGAUAACUAAUCACAAAGCUGGCUUAAAAACCACAUCAAAAAGUUCAAAUCUUUAGCAUAAAACUCCCAUCAACGAUUAAGAACCAAAAAAACAAUCUGAACUCGAAAACAACAACCCCAUUACAACAAGUAUCAAUCUUGCCAAUUGUAAACAAUGCAGCAAAAAAUGUUAAUUGGGAUCAUGAAUUGGGUUCAAUUGAAAAACUAGAAAACUGAUUGGGCCAAGUGAGAAUACCUGAGGAGUUGUUACAGGACUGCCGCCGCAACCGCGGCUGUUGAACACCAAGACCCGCCACCCUUUACUUUUGGCGCGAACCAGCAUGUGCUUCACAUACGAGUCAUCACUCCCUCCAGUUAAACCAGGCUGCAAAAACACCCAUUACCCAAAAUCCAAAACUCAAUUUCUAACUCAAAAGUUUUCCCCUUUUUUUCUGUUUUUUUUUUGUAAUUUUCCGGGAAACAAACAGGAAAUAAAGGAAGAGAAAUGUGAGAACGAACGAACCAGGAGAAUGAGGAGGGGGGAGUCGGGGGGCAAAAGGCGGUCGUCACCGGAUACCCAGUCGAGGGCAACGGCACCGUCGUCUGCAGUACGGAGGCAUUCGCGACGGAGCCUGACGUCGGGAGUGGACCUGUAGAACGAAGCGAAUAUGGUCUCGACGUGGCGGUUCGACCCGAUUACCGGAUACGGGUCGUAGGGUCGGGUCAGGGUGGUGAGGGCGGGGAGGAAGAGGUCGCAGCCGCCUCCGAGGAUUUCGAGGGACGGAUGGGCCAUGGGGGCGGCGAUGAGGUGACGUGGAGGGGGGAGCAGGCGGGGAGGCGAGUGUAGCUGUGGAGGUGGGACACGUGGCGUAAUUAGGAGAGAGGUGGUGAGUUGCCAAGGUAGGCUCUGGCCAGUGGCCAUUGGUUGGUUGGUUGGUUUUGUAUUUAGUGGAUCGCUUGAGGAGUGGUUUUUGGAAAGACCACAAAAAAAUGUUUCUUUCUCCUUUCGUUAUUUUUCCUACGAACAGAUUAUGAUUAUAUUAAAAUAAAUAUAAGGGAAUUUUAACGAAAAGCUCCUGGUACUAUUUAUUUUAACAAAAAACCAUAUUUUUACACUAAAAAGUCAAUCAUGGUACUAUUCACUUUACCUUUUAUUUUAUCCUUAUCAUUAAAACUCAAAAUUUUCAUGCCCUUUUCAUUAAUUUUCCUUAAAUAAUAAUCGUACAUUUAAUUCGGAAAUUGGAAAUGAUGGUCUUAUGAAGUUUAAUUUUCAGUACAAUGUUUUGAAAACUUUAUAUAAACCUCCAUAUAUCAAAAAGAGUGAUUUCAAUGACAAGAGUAUCAUUGUUAUCUCUUCUUCCGACAUCACAUUAACCCGAGUAAAUGACAUUUGGAGGUAAAAACAACUUUCAUGUACUGUUAUUAUGAAAUACAUAUAAAAUUAUAGCUAAUUCGGAAAUUAGAAAUGAUGGUCUUAUGAAGUUUAAUUGUUAGUACAAUGUUUUGGUAACUUUAUAUAAACCUUCACACAUCAAAGGAGUGACUUCAAUGACACGAGUAUUACUAUUAUCUCUUCGUCCGUCGUCACAUUAAUCCUGAAUAAAUGACAUUUUGGAUAGACCCGGCAGUUUAUGACACGUCACGGUGACACGACAUGAAAACGACACAAAAAUAACGGGUUUCGAGUCAACACGAUAACUUAUUAGAUCAUUAUCGGGUGACCUGUUAAUAACAAGUUCUUAACUGGUAUACACGCGGGUAACACGUGGGUAACCCGUUCGAUCCGUUAAGAAAAAAAUUAUUUUGAUAAUUUUAAAGUUUAAUUACUAAAAGAUUUAUUAUAAAAUACAAUAGCCAUAUUAAUAUAUACAAUAUAUUUUAUAUUAAAUAUAUAGUUUUGUAUUAUUAUUCUAUAUAAGUUUUAAAAAAAAGUUUUAGUCAUUAUUUAUUUUUAUUAUGAGAGUUCCUUAUUAUCAUUAUUAGGAUAAAUUUUACUUAACAUGUUGUUGUCCAAAAUUAAAAUAAACUAAUAUAGUAUUUGUAUAGGCAAGAACUAAGAAGACAUACAUACAAGUAUGAAAAAUGUGAAAGAAUAUAUAAAGACUCGUGAUUCAAUAUAUAAACACUCGUGAUUCAUCAUUAUUCCUCCACGAGUAGAUAAUGCACUUACAUUAUUGUUUAGAUUUUUAAAAUCCUCCAAAUCUUCAUGAAUAGUGUUUUUUAUUUGAGGGCAAAAUUAAUAAAAUUAAUAAUAAUUAUUGUAGAAGUGUAAAAAAUGUAAAAAAAAAUAUAUACAAUCACUCAUAGUGACAAACUUUACAACUUUCAUGAAGGGGUCAGCUUCGAAAUCCAACACUAUAAUUCAUAAACCUUAAAUUUAUAUUUAACCGUCAAUUGCUAUUUACGCUUUAUUCUUCUUACUGAAUUUCAUUUUUUAAAUUUUCUUUUUUGAAAACAUAAUCAUCUAGUGGAUGUAAGAAGAUGAACGGUUCAGAUCUUUAAUCACGUUUUGAUAUUUAUGGUUAACUGAAAUAUGAGUCGAUGUCAUAUAGUUUGUAGAAACUUUAUAAACAUCAAGCAAUAUUUUCACUAACCGUAAAACUCUGAAUAUAAUAUCAACGAUCUAAACCGUUCAUCUUCCUACAUCCUCUAAUAUAUCAAGUUUUCAAAAAACAAAAUCUAAAAAAAAAACAAAAUUUGAUGAGAACAAUGAAGCGUAAAUAUAAACAACAAUCAACGGUUAAAUUUUGAUCUAUGAUUUAUAUGAUUAUAGUGGUGAAUUUCGAAGUUAAGCUCUUCAUGAAAGUUGUAAAGCUUGUUAUUACGAGCGUUUAUAUAUUUUUUCUAUAUUUUUUUACACUUCUACAUUAAUUAAAAAACUAUUAAAGACUUUAAAUAAGUGAAAUAUAUUUAAAAGAAAAUUGAGUUUUUAUGUUUUGAAUGUGACAAUAUGAUACGUAUAUAUUUAUUUAGUAUUAUGUUUUUCAUUUUAUUAUUUAUUGGUUUAUAAUAUAUUUUCCUUAACGGAUAACGAGUCGGGUCAUAUUACCUGUUAAUAUUAUCGGGUCGAUUUCAGGUCUGGUCAUUUUACCCGUUUAUUUUAACGCGUAUUACACGACACGACCCAUUAAGAUAUUGGGUAUGACACAAAAACAACACGAACACGGAAAACACGACACGAAUAUCAGGUCUAAUUUUUGAGGUAAAACCAACUUUCAUGUACGAGUGUAACUUUGUAAGUGGCUUAAUAUAAAGUUUCACACAUGACGGCUUUGAAAAAUAUAAUAAAAAAGAUAAAUUUUUAUUUAACCAUAUAAUUAACCCCCACAAAUUCACCUCAAAACCCUCCAUUAAUUUCCUUAACCUCAUUCAUUGACCUUCUCCAAAUACUUCCGCUUCUCCUCCUCCGUCAUGAACGCCGUGACCGGAAAAGACUUCCCGAUCCCCAUCGGAGUCUUGAAAACGAUCUUCUUCCCCGCCGGAUCCUCAACACUCAUCUCAGAUAUGGGGACCCACAGAAAAACCUGCUUGCUCUUGAUCCCAGUCAUCUUCUUCAUCCUGCACUUCUCCACGUACCCAGUGUCUUGGUUCCAGCUGACACGUGUGUUGGACCCUCCCUCAAAGAAGUGCUCGUAGGGUUGCUUCUGCUUCAUCCACACGAACCCAGUUUCUCUGACCCUCCCGCACUCCACGAGGUCCUGCAGGGGGAGGACACCUUUGGGAAACCCUAGCUCAUGUAGUAGGUCUAUGGACUGCCGGUAGCAAUCUUCGGGGCCGUAAACGAUCUCGGCCCCGGCACGCUGCUUGUCUUCAACAACAAGUUGCUUGCCACUAGCCAUUUUCUUCGUGGAAAUCGUAUAUUUUUUCGGAGUUUUUGGAUGGAGGGUUUGAAGGCUUGGAGCUUUUUGUUAGUUGGGUUGAAUUAAUAUAUGGGGAGAGUGAUUAAGAAAAGGGCUUAAAAGUUGUUGGAUGGAGGUUGAGCGGAAUUAGGGUUUGGAAAGGGAUCAGGUGGGUUGUUCACCAAAUGGACAUUGGGUUUAUUGUGCCAUUGUCGGUGGGAUGCUCUCACCUACUUCGUGUUUAUGGUGAUAAUAAUCGUCUAAUAAUAGAUGGGUGAUGUUAUUAUGAGGAUAGGAGAAAUUUUUCAGUAUGCUGGAAAUACGAUUUAGUGUAUCAAGUAUAAUACACUUUGUUGGAAACUUUAAAUUGCCAGAAUGUUGGAAACUCUUUCAAUUCUUUUUCAAUUAUAUGUUCUGCAGAGUGAGUAAAGCCCUCAAGUGGUAAUCGAAAUUACCUUUUUAUUGAAACAACGCGCAAGCAUGUCCGGGCACAUUGGGAGGCUGAAUAACCAUGAGUGCAGAUAAACCAAGGGAAUAAAAUUUGAACCAAUUAUAUAUUACAUUGGUAUACAGAUCCGUAUUCCCGACACACUAGAAAAUAUCUCAAAAGAUACACUUGCUGACAUAUUCUUUAUUACAAGCAAAAUUCUAUAUCCGCAUAUAAUAAUUGUUUAUUUGUAUUAGAGUGAGUGUUAGCUAACGUGCCAAUUUUAUGUAUCACAUAACAUUUAAUUGCUCACGACUUAGCUGAAGAAAAGUUAGCUCUGUUCAUGUAUAUUUGGUGUGCUUACCAGUUACCAUUAAUUUAGGGUUUCUAAAAGGGGAAGGAAAAUGCUUGGCAACGGUUUCACAUGGUUUGGCGUGUUGGAUGAUUAUACCAUGCUAUGUUAGAUUAAAAGUUGGUCUAAUAGGAUACCAAAACCAAAACCAAACCUAAAACCCACGGCUCCAAUCCAUCUGGAAAAUGUUUUUGAGGGCUAGGGUCAAUAGGUACUUGCAAGUUGCGACCAGGGACAUCGUGGGUUGAUCUUGGCCAUUAAAACAUCCAUGAUCAAGAACAACAUGAGCGCGUGUCCGACUGAUCUUAACAAAUCCAUUAUAAGAUCUUUCCAAUCACUAUAAUAUCAAAGAAUGUUACGUUGUAAUGUUUUCUUACCAGACUUACGUUUUCAAACUCGUGCUUGCAUUUUCAAACGAGCAUAUAAUGCAUGUCAUCUCACUCUGGUAAUAUCUGCUGGUGACUAGAAGUUGAGAAACUUUUAGGUGUAAAUUUGUUUGAAUGAAUUUUAAACAGAAAUGCAAGAAUAGGUUCAAUUCUGCCAAGCGUACAACGUUCACAGCUGAAAAUUAGGUAAAAGAUCGGAGUAAAACAACACAAAACUUGACAAGGUUUGAUGAUCUUACGCAGUGGAUAUUCCGUGGUACAACAACUACGAGCAUUACUAGCUACAAAAUUACACUCAUAAGAACAAGAAACCUCCAAUUAACAGGCGAUAGCUUUCUUCGCGGUUAAUAGUUACAUAUAUGCAUAUCUAAAGACCAAAAAUCAACUACGAUAAACAAGAUAAGACAUUUUAUGAACAGAAAAUCCAGGUCAAGUCUUAUUCCUAAAGAAAUGCCAUCAUAUAAUGAACUUUUCCUUAGAAGAGAGAAAUAAACGAGUAGUAAACUGUUGUGAACAACACAAGAAGCUCAUAUCAACACUAGUGCUUUUCCUUGUCCUUUGGAAUAUCCUUCGGUGGAACCUUUGAUUCCAGUUCCUUGGUGAUUCUAAGAGAGAAUCCAUUAAGUUGUAUUAAGAUGCAAGACCACUAACAAAAAAUAUAUGAAAGCAGAGUAAAUUGUUUCCAAAUAAACAUAAAACGACAUGUCACAAUUCAUCGAUUCCUCGAGAUCACACUGAAAUGGUAUCUUACACAAUAAUCAAUGUCCACCGUCCAGGUUUG